GACGAACGCUUGCGGCGUGCCUAAUACAUGCAAGUCGAGUGGACUUAAAAAGCUUGCUCUUUAAGUUAGCGGCGGACGGGUGAGUUACACGUGGGCAACCUGCCUUUAAGACUGGGAUCACUUCGGGAAACUGGAGCUAAUACCGGAUAAUCCUUUUAUACUCAUGUAGGAAAGCUGAAAGACGGUUUACGCUGUCACUUCCAGAUGGGGCCGCGGCGCAUUAGCUAGUUGGUGGGGUAACGGCUCACCAACGAGACGAUGCGUAGCCGACGUGAGAGGGUGAUCGACCCCACUGGGACUGAGACACGCCCCAGACUCCUACGGGAGGCAGCAGUAGGGAAUCUUCCGCAAUGGACGAAAGUCUGACGGAGCAACGCCGCGUGGGUGAUGAAGGUUUUCGGAUCGUAAAACUCUUUUGUUAGGGAAGAACAAGUACGAGAGUAACUGCUCUUACCUUGACGGUACCUAACCAGAAAGCCACGGCUAACUACGUGCCAGCCGCCGCCGUAA
rnacentral:rRNA from 1 species